UGGGGAAUUUUGGACAAUGGGCGAAAGCCUGAUCCAGCAAUGCCGCGUGUAGGAUGAAGGCCCUCGGGUUGUAAACUACUUUUGUACGGAACGAAAAGACUCUCUCUAAUAAAGAGGGUCCAUGACGGUACCGUAAGAAUAAGCACCGGCUAACUACGUGCCAGCAGCCGCGGUAAUACGUAGGGUGCAAGCGUUAAUCGGAAUUACUGGGCGUAAAGCGUGCGCAGGCGGUUAUGUAAGACAGAGGUGAAAUCCCCGGGCUCAACCUGGGAACGGCCUUUGUGACUGCAUAGCUAGAGUACGGUAGAGGGGGAUGGAAUUCCGCGUGUAGCAGUGAAAUGCGUAGAUAUGCGGAGGAACACCGAUGGCGAAGGCAAUCCCCUGGACCUGUACUGACGCUCAUGCACGAAAGCGUGGGGAGCAAAC
rnacentral:rRNA from 1 species